UAGGACAUAGGAUCACAUGAUCCAGUGAGGAAAAGGUGGCGCAAGCUAUCGCUAAGAGAUGGACCCGCGGUGCAUUAGCUAGUUGGUAGGGUAAAGGCCUACCAAGGCGAUGAUGCAUAGCCGACCUGAGAGGGUGAUCGGCCACAUUGGGACUGAGACACGGCCCAAACUCCUACGGGAGGCAGCAGUAGGGAAUCUUCCGCAAUGGACGCAAGUCUGACGGAGCAACGCCGCGUGAGUGAAGAAGGUCUUCGGAUCGUAAAGCUCUGUUGUUAGAGAAGAACAGCGCAUAGAGUAACUGCUAUGCGUGUGACGUAUCUAACCAG
rnacentral:rRNA from 1 species